rnacentral:rRNA from 1 species
AGCUCCAAUAGCGUAUAUUAAAGUUGUUGCAGUUAAAAAGCUCGUAGUUGGAUUUCUGGCAGGUUUUCAAAGUCCGCUUGUUGCGUGACUGCGAAACCCUGCCAUCCUUCUGUUAACUCUUCACGGUCUUCUGAUCGGCUGAGGGCUCAGAUAUUUUACCUUGAGAAAAUUAGAGUGUUUCAGGCAGGCUAUAGCCGGAAUACAUUAGCAUGGAAUAAUGGAAAAGGACUUUUACCUCUUCUGUUGGUCUGAGGGGUUAAAGUAAUGAUUAAUAGGGAUAGUUGGGGGCAUUAGUACUUAACUGCUAGAGGUGAAAUUCUCGGAUUUGUUAAAGACUAACUUAUGCGAAAGCAUUUGCCAAGGAUGUUUUCAUUA